rnacentral:snRNA from 1 species
GGAUGUGAGGACAAUCUGGCUGUGACAUCUGUCACUUCAUUGAUUGCCAGGGUUGAUUCGGCUGAUCUGGCUGGCUAGGCGGGUGUCCCCUUCCUCCCUCACUGCUCCCUGUGCGUCCCUCCCAAAGCUUCAUACUAAGUCAAAGAGGAUGGCCUUCCCUGAAUAGAUACGGACUGGUCUUCGGUAGAGAGUUUACGAGUAGCGGUGCUCCCCUCCUAGAACCUCCAAACAAGCUCUCAAGGCAUUACAUUAAACUUUAAAAUUGUAAAUGUUCGUUCUUCAUAUAUGGAAGGCAUUCAAUAACAUUUACCUUUUUAU